UGAGGGGCCGGGUGAGGGUGGGGACUGGGGAGCGCCCCGGCAGGGGGAGCCGUCGAGGCGUCCGCACGCCUGGGGACCCGACGGACGAGCGAGCAGCCGGGAUUUGGCGAGCCCGGGCGCAGGGGGAGGCGAGGCGCACCCGGGGCAGGAUGAGCCGCCGCCGCUUGCCUGCUAAGGCACUGGGCCCCGAGCCCCGGAAGGGCGCGGAGGCGGGGUCUUCAGGGCAGCGCGCGGCCCGCUGCCCCACUCGAUUCACAGGCGCCGGGACCCGCCCCGCACGCGGCUCCGGCCUCGGCACGUUCCUAACCCCCUCUCCAAAGAGAUUUAGAAGAAAAAUGUGUUCCACACUUUGGGAAAAGACGCUCUGGAGACUGUGGGUCUGAUUACUGCCGAAAAAUCCGCGCAGGCGGGCUCCCCUCACUUGCUUCCCCGCUCCCACCGCCCACUUGCCCUCUUCCAAAAAGCCCCUCCAGGCUGGGUCCAGCUCAAACCCAUGCAGACCCCUGGGGGUGGUGCGGAUGUGCGAUGUCUGUGCCCAAAACUCCCGCUCAGAAGCGACACCUGUCGCAGAGCAGGAGGGAGCCGCUGCCACCAGCCCUCGGUCGUUAAAGGUAAAGAUGGAGGCCAAAGCCCUCGGGAGCAAGACUGGAAUUUUAAAUAAGCGCCUCCAGUCUCCGCGGCGGCAAGUCUUAAAGCUACCUUAAGAAGGCAAAAGUUCCAGGGGCUGGCCGACCGCCAGCUCUCUAACCCCAGAAGGCCCGUGAAGGGAGGAGGGUCUUUCACUGCCGCGCAGGGGCACUGGGGGAUCCCACCUGAGACACGCAGGAUCGGCAGCAGUUUUCCGCUUCUUCCCGUCCAAUUUUAUUGCCAGCAAGCCCCAAACAAAAGACCCUCUGCAUUCAUCCCUGGACAAGGAGAGGUCGGUCCAGCCUUCUGGAACCAAAGACUGGGGUGUUGGGAACCCCUCCAUCUCCCAGAUCCGCUUUAACCACGCUGUAGAUAGAGACGCUGGAUCAGCCCGGUACUGGCCGCCUGCAAGGGGAAAGGAACCUUCUUCAGGGAAGCAGUCCAGGAAACCAAAGGGCCUCCCCUCCCAAGGCUGUGUUUCCCCCACAGAGCCGCUAGCCAGGGGGAGCCCCAGAUCACUAAGGCUUGAACCAAACCUGCUUCUUCCUCGUUUCCAGACCAACUGUCUCCCUAAAUGAAAGCCGCCCCCAUCAUUAACCUUGGCUCCAAUUCCCAAGGCGAGGCUGAGAAAGUCAAGAUAUCAUUCAAGAAAGAACAGUUCUAACUGCUUAAUUUGGCAACAAAUUAGAGCCGAGAUGCUCAUCAGUCAUAAUCCUCUCCCCAUCCUGUUCUUCCCUAUGACUGCAACUAGGUAAUAUUAUUUAAUGUCCAAAGGCAAAAUGAAACAAAAACUGGAAUGCUAGAAAUAAAUGGAUUUUUUACUA